rnacentral:rRNA from 1 species
UACGGAGGAUGCGAGCGUUAUCCGGAUUUAUUGGGUUUAAAGGGUGCGUAGGCGGACGCUUAAGUCAGCGGUAAAAUUGCGGGGCUCAACCUCGUCGAGCCGUUGAAACUGGGUGCCUUGAGUGGGCGAGAAGUACGCGGAAUGCGUGGUGUAGCGGUGAAAUGCAUAGAUAUCACGCAGAACUCCGAUUGCGAAGGCAGCGUACCGGCGCCCCACUGACGCUGAAGCACGAAGGCGUGGGUAUCGAACAGG